rnacentral:rRNA from 1 species
AGAGUUUGAUCCUGGCUCAGAAUCAACGCUGGCGGCGCGCCUAACACAUGCAAGUCGAACGAGAAAGUGGAGCAAUCCACGAGUACAGUGGCGUACGGGUGAGUAACACGUGGGUAAUCUACCUCUUAGUGGGGAAUAACCAGGGGAAACUCUGGCUAAUACCGCAUAAGCCUGAGAAGGGAAAGCAGCAAUGCGCUGAGAGAGGAGCCCGCGGCCGAUUAGCUAGUUGGUGGGGUAAGAGCCCACCAAGGCAGAGAUCGGUAGCCGGCCUGAGAGGGCACACGGCCACACUGGCACUGAAACACGGGCCAGACUCCUACGGGAGGCAGCAGUGGGGAAUCUUGCACAAUGGGGGAAACCCUGAUGCAGCGACGCCGCGUGAGCGAUGAAGCCCUUCGGGGUGUAAAGCUCUUUCGUCAGGGACGAUAAUGACGGUACCUGGAGAAGCAGCUGCGGCUAACUACGUGCCAGCAGCCGCGGUAAUACGUAGGCAGCAAGCGUUGUUCGGAGUUACUGGGCGUAAAGGGUGUGUAGGCGGUUCUUUAAGUUUGGUGUGAAAUCUCCCGGCUCAACUGGGAGGGUGCGCCGAAUACUGAGGGACUAGAGUACGGGAGAGGAAAGUGGAAUUCCUGGUGUAGCGGUGAAAUGCGUAGAUAUCAGGAGGAACACCGGUGGUGUAGACGGCUUUCUGGACCGUAACUGACGCUGAGACACGAAAGCGUGGGUAGCAAACAGGAUUAGAUACCCUGGUAGUCCACGCCCUAAACGAUGCAUAUUUGGUGUGGGCAGUUCAUUCUGUCCGUGCCGGAGCUAACGCGUUAAAUAUGCCGCCUGGGGAGUACAGUCGCAAGGCUGAAACUCAAAUGAAUUGACGG